UUGCUGGGGCCACCCCUUAUAUAACUGCUGCAGAGGAGAAACUGCACAGCAUGAUAGUGGAUCUGGAUAGCGUGGUCAAAAAGGUCCAGGCUGCUCAGUCAGAGGCUAAGGUGGUGUCUCAAUAUCAUGAACUUGUGGUCCAAGCAAGGGAUGACUUUAGAAAAGAGCUGGACAGCAUCACUCCAGACAUCACUCCUGGAUGGAAAGGGAUGAGUAUUUCUGACCUAGGUGAGUAAUUAUGUAAAUUUUAUGUUUAAUGGCAUUCUUUUGGAUGUUGAAAUACUGAACUCUUUCUGGUGUGUGUGAGGGUGUGUGUGUGUAUGAGGGUGUGUGUGUGUGAGGGAGAGGGAGAGGGAGGGAGAGAGAGUGACAAUAAGGUCUUUGUUUUACUUGUUAUUUCAAAGAGCUUCAAACAUU
rnacentral:lncRNA from 1 species